rnacentral:misc_RNA from 1 species
UUGUGGAGGAGGACGCCGAAGGUGGGGCUAAUGACUGGGGUGAAGUCGUAACAAGGUAGCCGUACCGGAAGGUGCGGCUGGAUCACCUCCUAACAGGGAGACAACAAAAUGUUUAAUAUUAUUAUUUUGUCACCUUAGGUCGAUCGGUAUCUCACGUUUUUAAUUUAUUAAGAAUUUCAUUUCCUAAGUUUUUCUAGGUCACACCCAUUAUUUUUCCUGGGCCAUUAGCUCAGGUGGUUAGAGCGCACCCCUGAUAAGGGUGAGGUCCCUGGUUCAAGUCCAGGAUGGCCCAUAUCUCUAUGUUGGGGGUAUAGCUCAGUUGGUAGAGCGCCUGCUUUGCAAGCAGGAUGUCAGCGGUUCGAGUCCGCUUACCUCCACUGAUUACCACCUCUUUCAUAAUCUGUAGAAAGGAAAUGUAUUGAGAUGUGAUCAAAUUCUGAACGAAUCUAGCUUCCUAAUGAAAUCAUUAAGAUGCUGGACUCAUUGAAUUAAUUUCAUUGUUUUCAGAGAACCUUGACAACUGCAUAGAUUUUUUUAAAGACAAUAAGCAUCUUUAAUGAUGCAGAUUUAUUAUUUGUGCGAAUGCAUUAAUAACAAUUCUAUUAAGCUGAUGCUUCAAUUUUGAAGUUAUUGGUCAAGCUACAA